AUUGAACGCUGGCGGCAGGCCUAACACAUGCAAGUCGAGCGGAGCGGCGGACGGGUGAGUAAUGCCUGGGAAUCUGCCUGGUAGUGGGGGAUAACGUCCGGAAACGGGCGCUAAUACCGCAUACUAUCAGAUAAGCCUGGGUCGGAUUAGCUAGUUGGUGGGGUAAAGGCCUACCAAGGCGACGAUCCGUAACUGGUCUGAGAGGAUGAUCAGUCACACUGGAACUGAGACACGGUACAGAGGCAUACGGGAGGCAGCAGUGGGGAAUAGUGGACAAGGGGCGAAAGCCUGAGCCAGCCAUGCCGCGUGUGUGAAGAAGGUAUUCGGAUUGUAAAGCAAUGUAAGUUGGGAGGCGGUACCAACAGAAUAAGCACCGGCUAACUUCGUGCCAGCAGCCGCGGUAAUAC
rnacentral:rRNA from 1 species